UCGGGAAUUUUGGGCAAUGGGCGAAAGCCUGACCCAGCAACGCCGCGUGAAGGAUGAAGUAUUUCGGUAUGUAAACUUCGUAAGAAUAGGAAGAAUUAAAUGACGGUACUAUUUGUAAGGUCCGGCUAACUACGUGCCAGCAGCCGCGGUAAUACGUAGGGACCAAGCGUUGUUCGGAUUUACUGGGCGUAAAGGGCGCGUAGGCGGUGUGUCAAGUCAGUUGUGAAAUCUCCGAGCUUAACUCGGAACGGUCAACUGAUACUGUCACACUAGAGUACAGAAGGGGCAAUCGGAAUUCUUGGUGUAGCGGUGAAAUGCGUAGAUAUCAAGAGGAACACCUGAGGCGAAGGCGGGUUGCUGGGCUGAUACUGACGCUGAGGCGCGAAAGCUAGGGUAG
rnacentral:rRNA from 1 species